UCCAAAGUGACUUACAUUGCAUUUUUAACAAUUUUGCCCGGGUAGCAAUUAGGGGUUAGGUGUCUUGCUCAGGGAUACUUUGACUUGGAGAAACCAGGGCUUGAACCGUGAUCCUUGCGGUUCCCAGCGGUUAGGGUUAGGCGCACCCUCUCUACCCCAUGCGCCACCCACACAACCAUAACCAUAAUAAUGAUAGUGAUGGUGAUAGUCAUAGGUGUGUUUUGUUGUCAUCUUAUCCCUGCCUGUCUUUUUCCGGUGGCCAUGACAACGGGGCGUGGACUUUGAGGACGCGCAGCUGCUUCGAAUCAGUCACCUGACUCCCGUUCCCUAUCAGGGGGGUAUUUAGGAGCAACCCGGAGAUCCAGUCCCUGCCGGAUCGUUAGAUGCCAAUAGGUUAUACCUUGUACGACCAUUGUUCACCCUGCCGGACUUCGCCUCACCUAACUUCGAAUCACCUGACACGCCAUUAUCUCUCGUUGGGUCAAGGACUCUGUGAAGGGACCCACUCCAGGAACCAGAAAGUUGCAGACUACUGGUGGUUUUCUGCUUUGUUGUUUUUGUUGUUUGACUCACGGAAUUAAACCUUUUGUUUCAA